rnacentral:misc_RNA from 1 species
GAUGAAGAACGUAGCGAAAUGCGAUACGUAGUGUGAAUUGCAGAAUUCAGUGAAUCAUCGAAUCUUUGAACGCACAUUGCACCUCUCGGUGUUCCGGGAGGUAUGCCUGUUCGAGCGUCAUUUGUACCCUCAAGCUCUGCUUGGUGUUGGGUGUUUGUUCCGCCUCUGUGUGUGAACUCGCCUCAAAACAAUUGGCAGCCGGCGUACUUGUUUCGGAGCGCAGCACAUUUUGCGAUCCAGAUCAACGUACAGCGGCAUCCAAGAAGCCUUAUUUAACGCUCUUGACCUCGGAUCAGGUAGGGAUACCCGCUGAACUUAAGCAUAUCAAUAAGCGGAGGA